rnacentral:rRNA from 1 species
UACGUAGGAGGCGAGCGUUGUCCGGAAUCACUGGGCGUAAAGCGCGUGUAGGCGGUGGGGGAAAUCUGCUGUGAAAGCGCCUGGCUCAACCGGGCGAGGUCGGCGGAAACUCUCUCACUGGAGGCCGGUAGAGGGGGGUGGAAUUCCCGGUGUAGUGGUGAAAUGCGUAGAGAUCGGGAGGAACACCAGUGGCGAAGGCGGCUCACUGGACCGGAACUGACGCUGAGGCGCGAAAGCGUGGGGAGCAAACGGGG